rnacentral:tRNA from 1 species
GGGAGUAGCUCAGUGGUAGAGCGUCAGCCUUCCAAGCUGAGGGUCGCGGGUUCGACCCCCGUCUCC